GAUGAACGCUGGCGGCGUGCCUAAUACAUGCAAGUCGAGCGAACAGACGAGGAGCUUGCUCCUCUGACGUUAGCGGCGGACGGGUGAGUAAAACGUGGAUAACCUACCUAUAAGACUGGGAUAACUUCGGGAAACCGGAGCUAAUACCGGAUAAUAUAUUGAACCGCAUGGUUCAAUAGUGAAAGACGGUUUUGCUGUCACUUAUAGAUGGAUCCGCGCCGCAUUAGCUAGUUGGUAAGGUAACGGCUUACCAAGGCGACGAUGCGUAGCCGACCUGAGAGGGUGAUCGGCCACACUGGAACUGAGACACGGUCCAGACUCCUACGGGAGGCAGCAGUAGGGAAUCUUCCGCAAUGGGAGAAAGCCUGACGGAGCAACGCCGCGUGAGUGAUGAAGGUCUUCGGAUCGUAAAACUCUGUUAUUAGGGAAGAACAAAUGUGUAAGUAACUAUGCACGUCUUGACGGUACCUAAUCAGAAAGCCACGGCUAACUACGUG
rnacentral:rRNA from 1 species